GGGGAAGGUCUGUAGCUCAGUAGUAGAACACCUGCCUUUGCAUGCAGAAGUUCCCAGGUUCAAUCCCCAGUAGCUCCA